AGAUGGCGACCGGCGCACGGGUGAGUAACACGUAUCCAACCUGCCGAUAACUCGGGGAUAGCCUUUCGAAAGAAAGAUUAAUACCCGAUGGCAUAAUUAGACCGCAUGGUCUUAUUAUUAAAGAAUUUCGGUUAUCGAUGGGCAUGCGUUCCAUUAGGCAGUUGGCGGGGUAACGGCCCACCAAACCGACGAUGGAUAGGGGUUCUGAGAGGAAGGUCCCCCACAUUGGUACUGAGACACGGACCAA
rnacentral:rRNA from 1 species